rnacentral:rRNA from 1 species
UACACUCCUACGGGAGGCAGCAGUGGGGAAUCUUGCGCAAUGGGCGAAAGCCUGACGCAGCCAUGCCGCGUGAAUGAUGAAGGUCUUAGGAUUGUAAAAUUCUUUCACCGGGGACGAUAAUGACGGUACCCGGAGAAGAAGCCCCGGCUAACUUCGUGCCAGCAGCCGCGGUAAUACGAAGGGGGCUAGCAUUGCUCGGAAUUACUGGGCGUAAAGGGAGCGUAGGCGGACAUUUAAGUCAGGGGUGAAAUCCCGGGGCUCAACCUCGGAAUUGCCUUUGAUACUGGGUGUCUUGAGUAUGAGAGAGGUGUGUGGAACUCCGAGUGUAGAGGUGAAAUUCGUAGAUAUUCGGAAGAACACCAGUGGCGAAGGCGACACACUGGCUCAUUACUGACGCUGAGGCUCGAAAGCGUGGGGAGCAAACAGGAUUAGAAACCCCAGUAGUCCC